rnacentral:lncRNA from 1 species
GCAUAUCAAAGGCGUAUGAAAUGUUUCGGAGCAUAUCAAUAACAAAUGAAACAUUUCGAAACAUAUCAAUGACAUAUGGACCAUUUCGAAGCAUAUCAAAGAACGAAUACGAAAUAGAAGCUCAGACGUUGUACCCUAGCAUAGUGCAUGUGAGGUUUAACUCAGUGGUGGCUCUACGCCGUGAUGAGUUCUAAACUCCAUCCACGGGUAGCCCUUUCCUACUCGAGCCCUCUCACCCUACCCAAGUGCUAGGUCGGCUCUGAAUUUC